rnacentral:rRNA from 1 species
GUAAGGGAGGAUAAUGACGUUACCUUAUUAUUAGUGUCGUCUAAAAUUGGUGCCAGAAGACUCGGUAAUACCAAAUACACAAACGUUAGUCAUCAUAAAUAGGCGUAAAGGGUUUGUAGGCUGCUCUCAUCGGAGCUAGAAUCAUACAGGGGUCAAUAUCAUACCUAGUGAAAGGGUUAAAUCUGUAAAUAUUAGGGGGAAUACUAUAAGCGAAAGCGAUUUUCCAUUUAAUGAUUGACGCUGAGACACGAAGGUUGGGGUAGGAAAUAGGAUUAGAUACCCUAGUACUCCAAACUGUUU